rnacentral:rRNA from 1 species
AUUGAACGCUGGCGGCAGGCCUAACACAUGCAAGUCGAGCGGAUGAAGGGAGCUUGCUCCUGGAUUCAGCGGCGGACGGGUGAGUAAUGCCUAGGAAUCUGCCUGGUAGUGGGGGAUAACGUCCGGAAACGGGCGCUAAUACCGCAUACGUCCUGAGGGAGAAAGUGGGGGAUCUUCGGACCUCACGCUAUCAGAUGAGCCUAGGUCGGAUUAGCUAGUUGGUGGGGUAAAGGCCUACCAAGGCGACGAUCCGUAACUGGUCUGAGAGGAUGAUCAGUCAACGUGAAAGUGAAAACGGGUCCAGACUCUUAGGGGGGGCAGAGGGGGGAAAUUUUGGCAAAUGGGGGAAAGCCUGAACAAGCCAGGGCGGGGGGGGGAAGAAGGUCUGCGGAUUGGAAAGCACUUUAAGUGGGGGGAAAGGGCAGAAAGUUAAAACCUGGGUUUUUUGCGGUUACAAACAAAAAAAGCCCGGGUAAAUUUGUU